UCGGCGGAGUUUGGUCGCUCAGUGACUGUGGAGCUGAAGUGGAGAGUGUGGACAUGAGGGAAGGUGAGCGGUGAAGGACAGCGAGACACGUGACGUGGAGAGAGAAGAUUCCUUUUUGAUUUAUGGACCAAACGAUUCAUCGAGAAAAAAGAAUGGUGUGAUUAAUGAUAAAGAGUCAAAUGUGCUCUCCUGGCACGCUCCCUCCUCUCAGAAGCAGCUUGAAACACACUCACUUAUGACUGACGUGGACAGAAGGAAAAGAACAGAAGUACAGAGAGGAAGAAAGAAGUCGGACGCAGACGGGGAGGCUUUGACUAAAGGGACGAGUGAGUCACAGACGUUCAGACUGACGGAGUCUUUCCACUGGAAGGCUUCAGUGGAGCCAGGAUACUCCCUGAUUCCCUGAGCCUGCCCCAUGCCCAAAAGCAGAGAUGCUGUUUUGCCCCUUUAUUUUACCACAUGUAACACACACACACACACACACACACACACACACACACACACACACUAACAAACAGACUAACAUCCAUUUCCAUGGAGAGCACACACACACACACACAUGCACAGAACACAUCUUUUUUCCUCUGCAUCAGAAGUGGAUUGGACCUGCGAGUUCUUGAACUCCACCCCGAGGAAAUAAAUCUAUCAGAGCAGAAUAAAGGUUGGAUUCAAGUGUCAGACGUAGGACGGCGAGGAUGUCACUGCGAACUUCACGUCAAACAUUAGUUUGACAUGUUUUUUCUCCCUGGGUUCAGUAGACGAGCUUCUGAACAUGUUCUUUCUACCAGAGACCUGUUAUUGGGAUAUGAAGAACAUGUUUGUGCUUUGGAUUACAUGUUGGACAUCCUGCUAUCCUGUGGGCCACGUUCAUCCUCGUCUCCUUCCACAGCAGCGAGGAUCUAUUUUUCACCUUUUGGAAUGGAAACGCUUGCAUGUGUUUGCUGAGAGUCGACUGUCACCGCUGCUUUCAUGCAGAAGGAAAAAUAAAGAAUGUCUUCUUCAGAGCUUCACAGUCACUGAGGUCACACUGUCUGUGAGGGAGACAGAGAGGGAGACAGAGAGGGAGACAGAGAGGGAGACAGCUCACCAGCUGCUGCCAGUCUGUCUGAUCUGACUCCUCCUCCUCCUCCUCGUAGCCACACCCUCCCUUCUCCUGUGGCCCCACCCCUCUCUCCCUCUUCAGCAGUAGAGGUACAUGUGCAGUGAGCGACAGCCACAGGAAAGCAGUCCAGGGCACAAGCCAAAGACACACACACACACACACACACACACACCCACCCAACACACAGCAAGACUGCAGAAUUCAACGGAAUCCUCUUCUCUACUCUCCUCUGGGCCAGUGACUCAC